rnacentral:rRNA from 1 species
CGACAGGCUAACACAUGCAAGUCGAGGGGCAGCAUAAAAGUAGCAAUACUUGGUGGCGACCGGCGCACGGGUGAGUAACGCGUAUGCAACCUACCUAUCGAGAGGGGAAUAACCCGGCGAAAGUCGGACUAAUACCGCAUAAAACAGGGGCACCGCAUGGUGAUAUUUGUUAAAGAAAUUCGCUGAUAGAUGGGCAUGCGUUCCAUUAGGUAGUUGGUGAGGUAACGGCUCACCAAGCCGACGAUGGAUAGGGGAACUGAGAGGUUGGUCCCCCACACUGGUACUGAGACACGGACCAGACUCCUACGGGAGGCAGCAGUGAGGAAUAUUGGUCAAUGGGCGGGAGCCUGAACCAGCCAAGUCGCGUGAAGGAAGAAGGAUCUAUGGUUCGUAAACUUCUUUUGCAGGGGAAUAAAGUGCAGGACGUGUCCUGUUUUGUAUGUACCCUGAGAAUAAGGAUCGGCUAACUCCGUGCCAGCCGCGGC